AUCAGCAGCAGUGCCCAUCAUAGAGUAUACUUUGCCACGACACAAGCUCUGAGGAGAGACAAGCCCCCACCACAAGAAACAGCAACUGUGUCCAGGAGUAUGUAAGGUUGGGAAAUAGAGACAAGUGAAGCAGCCAACUUGGACCCGCAAGUGGGACCAAGUAUGGAGCAUGGCAGGGCUUGCUUCCAGGAUCCCUGAAUGACACUGUGGGGCAAAGCUACCGACCCUCCAUGGACUGCCAGCUACCUCUGAACAGUGAUGCAGAAAAAAAAAAAUGCAUCUUAGAAUUUCCAUAUGGAUUGCAGCCUUGACAUGGAAAAGUGAAAAUCAAUUUGGAUGCACAGCAGGCCCAGAGCAUAAGAAGUGACAUGGAGAACUCUAUCCUGGGGGAAGGGUGAGAGAAAGGAGAGUCUGCAUGUAAUGAGACCAGAAAUCAAAGGGGGAAUGAAUGAGCUGAAACCUCUGUGCACAAGAAGCCCAGCAGAGUAGCUAAAGAUGGAGGAAUCUGUAGUCACCUUUGACUCCCAGGCCACACUGGGCUUCCAUAAUGCCACAACUCCAGGGGAAAGGGGAGUGAAUUCAAACAGUUUGGAUGUCGUUUAAGAGAAAUGAAUGAAUCAGCUAGAAUUUUCUGCAAAUUGUAGAUGCUGUAAGAUUAUAAGGUAAUAUGAGGUAUUGGAGGUAUAAUAUAAGGAUAUAACAUAUUAUAUAUUGGUAUAUAUAAUAUAAGGUAUUAUAAGGUAAUCUACACAUUCCCUAUAAGAAAAUGUUAGUCAAUGGGAUGACAAACCAAACAAAUCCUCAAGGGGUGGCAACCUUAUAUCUUCACAAACUCAUUAUACAGAAAGUUGAUCAUUUCUUUUAUUAGAGCCUGCAUUACACUACAAAACUGAUUCUGUCAUGGUUCUGUAUUCCCAUUUUAUAGUUUUUCCUUCUUUAACUGUAACUUGGUUUCCAGAGGGAAAGUCCAAAUAACCUAAGGAAAGUCAGGAUGAUGACACAUGGACCCAGCCGAUAUUUUCUUAAUGAUCACAGAGAGAAGACAAGUUACUUUGCAGCAAUUCCUUCAUAUGCAUUUUCAUUGUUGAUGGAAAAAUACAUAUUUUCAAAUGUAUCCAGGCAUCCUAGGCUCCUGCAUACCCAUGGAAAACCCAGUGAAACCUGCUUUAGCUCAUUCCUCUUAUCAGGGGAUGAAGCAUUAAUGAUAUGCAGAUUUUGAACUACCGUUUAUUAUACCUGGUACCUGUAUUGUGCAGAAAUUAUUAAAAUUAACUUUUUAAAUUGGACUUUUUAACAGGAAGUUGGACUCCUACUUAGUGGCAUGCACUAAGAAUUAUGCCUUUUGAAAUAAGAAUUAUGCCUUUUGAAAUAAUAGAAUAAUUAAAUCUUCAGAAAAAGAAAUCCAGAAGCAUAAAGUGGGAAUAAGUAGGAAACUCAAACUGCUGUGCAAGCCAUCACCUUUUCUGGUGCAGAAAUGAAUAAUUCAUCAUUUAAUUUCAAAGAGUAUUGAAGAACACUACAUGUCUGAUUGGGCUGUUUCAUUUGGCUUUCUUGUCUUGUGUGUAUCAUGAUUACAUUUCUAGGUUUCUCAUAUGUGCAUAGUAUAAUUUAGCUGAGCACCAAGCUGGAGGACAAUGUAUGAUACUUGAGCCACCUGGUAUCUUUGGGGACUUUGGAAAGAGACAUCAUUUCUAAUCUUCAAAUUUUCAAUUAAAUAAAUUUCACUUUAAAAAUGUAUUUUUUUUCUUACAAAAAAAGAGAAAAGCUAAACCAGGCUCACAGCAAGAAACUAGGGUAGUAAAUAACAGUAAGUAGGAAAGAAAAAAUUCUAAAGACAUGAAUAGGAAUUUAGCUGAAAAGAUGAGCAUGACUUAUAAUUUAUUAUUUAUAACCUGUUCUUAAUUAUGAAAGCAUCUAGGAGCUCAGCCCUGAAACAAAAGAAAUGAAAUGAAUUACUUAGCACAGCAGAAAAAUUACUGUAUUUAAUUUUGGCAUUCGUUUCUUAUCGUUGGGGAUUACCUCUAUCAUUUAGUUUAUAGAGGUAUAACUAUAAAGUAUGACUGAAAGGUGAUAAUUUUUAAAAAGUAAAAUAAUGAUUCUCAUGCAAAUAAAAAAAAUGCUAGGCUUUAUUCAACUCAUUAAUUAAUAAGGCAACCAGUAAGAUGUUAAAGCCAGGUUAAAGGAGAAUCCAAAGAGCAUACAUAUAUAUAAGCCAUUAGGAAUACUGAAAUAAAUUUGGUUAAUGCAUGCAAAACUUGCUUCUUCCAUAGUAGGGUAGGAAUACAAAUUGAAUUUGCACCAGAAAAAAAUUCACUGAAUCUUAAAUCGCUCAAAGACGAUGAAAAACCUAGAGACCCUAUCUGUUUCUACAGAUGACCUGAAAGGGUGUGUUCCACAACCCCAGUGUUCACUAAGACACCCAAUCAUCAUUUUGGCUCAUUUCAAAGUGCUUCCCAAUUCUUCCGUGCAAUAUAUAGAGUUGUCCCAUAAAUCUCUUUAUGUUGGCUAACCUUUAGAGAGAACUAAAUAAAGGGGUGGGGAACAAAGGUAUGACAUGGGAAAGCAGAUCACAUUUUCAAUUUACAUUCAAAAUGUAAAUUUCCUCCUUGGUUUUAUUGUGAUGGUAGAUAAAAACCCAGACUUGGCUUGGCCCUUUCAAUAUCACUUCCAAAAGUACACUGAUCAGAAAAGGGAAAAGGCUUGGAAAGGCAAGCUGAUUAUUAAAAUUAUUAGGCAGGGUUAUCAGUAAGUUGCAUAAUCUGACAUAUCUCCAAGUUCUCCAAUACUACCUAGCCUGUGGGUAACUGAGUAACCCACACUCCACAGACUCUUGUUUCCAUGUGCUUACGCGGAGACUGAGCUGCCUGCUUAGCCUCACACAGCUUGGCCUGAGACCCUAGGGGUCGUCUCACAAAUUCAUCAUUUAGUCUUUGCAACAUCAUGCAUGCUAUGUGCUUUCUCUUUUCCUCUCAUCCACCUGGAGGAUGCUGACUGUUGGUGCCCACCCUGAAAGUUCUGGUACCCCAGCAAAGGGUGCUAUCACCAACUGCUCCCCAAACUGCUAACCUUCAGAGGAAAGGAAGGCCCCACAUUCCCUGGAGUCCUUGGCAUGCCAAGGUUCCUGGAAGAAAUGCCCUUGUCUCCUAACAUUCUCCCUCUCGCUCACUUUGCACCAGCCACACUGGCUUCUUUGCUGUCCUUUGAACCAGCCAGGUACUCACCAGCCUGUUCCCUCUACCUGGAAUGCUCUUUCUCCAAGUACCAACAUAAAUGGCUCCCUUUAUCUCAAGUCUUUACUCAACUAUCACCUUCAUGAAGACUUCCCUGGCUACCCUUCCUAAAACUGCAGCCCUAAUCGCACUUUGAUACUUCCUAUCCCUCUGCCCAGCUUAUUUUUCCCCAAUGUAAUAAUAAUAUAAAGUACAUGAUAAAUGUAAUGCACUUGAAUUAUCCCAAAACCAUCCCCCUCACCCCAUCUGUAGAAAAAUUGUCUUCUAGCUAGGCACGGUGGCUCACACCUAUAAUCCCAGCACUUUGGGAGGUCAAGGCGGGUGGAUCACCUGAGGUCAGGAGUUUGAGACCAGCCUGGCCAACAUGGUGAAACCCUGUCUCUACUAAAAAUACAACAAUUAGCUGGGCGUGGUGGUGGGCACCUGUAACCCCAGCUACUCGGGAGGCUGAGGUGAGAGAAUCGCUUGAAUCUGGGAGGUGGAGUUUGCGGUGAGCCGAGAUCAUGCCAUUGCACACUAGCCUGGGCAACAAGAGCGAAACUCCAUCUCAAAAAAGAAAAGAAAAGAAAAGAAAAGAAAAA
rnacentral:lncRNA from 1 species